UUAUUUAACCUUCUACUUCUUCUUCACAUCUAAUAAAACUAAAAUAAUUAGUCGAACAACCUAACAUCAUUACUUCUCCAUCGCUGGUAUCUGUACCAUCACCGUCUCUUACGCCACCACCGCAACCAACAUCAUUAGCACCACCACAACCAUCUUCCUCGUCACAACCACAACCAUCACCACCGUUUCUCCACCUCCUAAUCAAUCGAUUUAGAUCGAUUUUCACUUGAAUCAACUAUAAAACUUAAAUCUAGUGAUGAACCAACGAGAUUAAUCUCCAAAACCCAAUCUCGAGCAUCAGAAACGUUAGAUUCAUUUCGUUUUCAACUGAAUUGUACAUGAAGCUCCAAAUCUUGAACUUGCUUGAUUCACCUUUUGAACCCUGAAUUUGGAUCUCGUUCUUCUUCGGAUCGUAAUUGAUUCAGGUUUUGAUGAGGAUUGGGAUGCUAAGAGAAAAAGGUUGGCGUAGUCUACCGGACAUCCACACAAUAUAUUUUAGGCGAGAAUUAUGACGUCGAAUGAUAGAACAACUAUCAGCUCUGCUACUAUGGCCGAGUAUAUAAGAGAUGAUCAUUUUCCUUUUCCGGGCCACAUUUGUUGUUGGUCUUCCAUCUCCUGAUCCUUUGCAAACUAUAUGUAUCUCUCAAGAUGAAUUUGUGGUGUAAUGGUAUCACAACUGACUCUAGUCAGAAGAUACGUGUUCGAUUCACGUCAGGUUCAAUCAUUCGAGUAUGUCAAUUUUUGUGUCAAUUGGUUGUUGACUCUAGAUUUUGGUAUCAACUUUGGUUGUUGACCCCAUUCAUUGGGAUCAACUUCCAUUGUUGACACACAAAAAAAUGGAGUAUUUUUUUCAGUUAUUGUGUCAACUUUGGUUGUUGACUAUUCACUAGGAUCAACAUCCAUUGUUGGCACAAAAAAGCUGGAGUAUUUUUCCAGUUAGUGUCAAAUUUGGUUGUUGACUCCAUUUACUGGGAUCAACUUCCAUUGUUGACACAACUGAACUGUAAUAUUUUUCAGUCUUUUAUGUUAACUUUGGUUGUUGAAUCCAUUCACUCGGAUCAACUUCCAUUGAUGACACAACUGAACUGGAAUAUUUUUUAUUUAUUUGUGUAAACUUUGCUUGUUGACUCCAUACACUGGGAUCAACUGUAGCGCCCCCUAA